GACAGAGGGUGCGAACGUUGUUCGGAAUUACUGGGCGUAAAGCGUGUGUAGGCGGCCAAGUGUGUGAGGCGUGAAAGCCCGGGGCUUAACCCCGGAAUUGCACCUCAAACUACAUGGCUAGAGCAUUGGAGAGGGUAGCGGAAUUCACGGUGUAGCAGUGAAAUGCGUAGAGAUCCGGAGGAACACCAGUGGCGAAGGCGACACGCUGGGUCAUACCUGACGCUAAUACGCGACAGCAUGGGGAGCAAACGGG
rnacentral:rRNA from 1 species